rnacentral:SRP_RNA from 1 species
GCAGGCACAGCGAUAUGCACCUUUAGUCCCAGCUACUCGAGAGGCUGAGGCAGGAGGAUCCCUUGAGACCAGGAGUUCUGGGCUGUAGUGUGCUCUGCUGUUCAGAUAUCUGCACCAAGUUCAGCAUCAAUAUGGUGACCUCCCAGGAGCAGGGGAUCCCCAGGUUGCCUAAGAAGGGGUGAACUGGCCCAGGUCAGAAAGAGAGCAGCUGAAAACUCCCAUGCUGAUUGAUCAGUAGUGGGAUCGUGCCUGUGAAUAGCUACUGCACUCCUGCCUAGGCAACAGAGACCCUGUCUCU